rnacentral:rRNA from 1 species
ACUCAAAGGAAUUGACGGGGGCCCGCACAAGCGGUGGAGCAUGUGGUUUAAUUCGACGCAACGCGAAGAACCUUACCAGGGCUUGACAUGGGAAGGACCGGACGAGAGAUCGUCCUUUCUCCGCAAGGGGACCUUCCACACAGGUGCUGCAUGGCUGUCGUCAGCUCGUGUCGUGAGAUGUUGGGUUAAGUCCCGCAACGAGCGCAACCCCCGUUUCUAGUUGCCAGCAUUCAGUUGGGCACUCUAGAGAGACUGCCGCGAAUAACGCGGAGGAAGGUGGGGACGACGUCAAGUCAUCAUGGCCCUUACGUCCUGGGCUACACACGUGCUACAAUGGGCGCCACAAAGGGUCGCAAGAGCGUAAGCUGGAGCUAAUCCCCAAAAGCGUCCUCAGUUCAGAUCGAGGUCUGCAACCCGACCUCGUGAAGGUGGAAUCGCUAGUAAUCGCGGAUCAGAACGCCGCGGUGAAUACGUUCCCGGGCCUUGUACACACCGCCCGU